rnacentral:lncRNA from 1 species
UAAACAACCAUGGGAAGGGUCUUGGAUGCUGAUCACGUGGCAUCUAUCAGUGAGGACACGUGGCAGAGGGGGAGAGAGAGAAAAAGAAAAGGAGAGUGUGAGUGAUGGCCGAUGACGGGAUGUGACACGAAAGCCAUCACGAAGGACAUCCCAAUAAAAGAAAAAGAUACGCAGGACUCUGAAGUCCUUGAUGAACUUGGCCUAAUGGGGAAAGAAGUCCAGUUGUCCGUAGGCCCAAUCACCUGGAGCCUACCUUGCAAGCUUUAAGGAAUUUUUAAUCUGCUAGUCCAAGAUUGGGUAAGCAACACGGUCACUGAUGAAGCAGAAAGGGAGGCCCAAAGUCUAAUGCGAAGAUGGAAAACACGUGCGGUAUGCAUAAACUACCUUUGGAACGUGAGUAACAAGCAUGGAGAUCCAGCUGUGUAGGUGGAUAACUCGCACGUGUGAAGCAGCAUGCAAGUGUGUGGCUGGAACAGCCUGCAUGCCACACCCCAUGCACACAAGACUUGCGCGGCAUGCCCACGUCCCCACGCAUGUGUGCAAACCCAAGGCCGCAUACCCUGUCUGUGCACGUAUGACCUGCGACCCGAGAUUCCCACUUGGUUGCCUAUGCGGAAAAGCCUGCAGAUAGCCCAAGUGGUCCAAGCCCGCCAGCCAAUGACUCUCGGGGGCCUUCUCCUGUGCAACCUGCGUAGAUUGGCUGGUCCGACUUAUCCGGGUAGCCCAAACAGGUCGACCCCCUUUUC